AGGGUUUGAUCAUGGCUCAGAACGUACGCUGGCGGCACGCCUAACACAUGCAAGUCGAACGCAGUAGCAAUACUGAGUGGCGAACGGGUGAGUAUAAUGUGGGUAUCUGCCUUUUGGUUUGGAAUAACGCGAGGAAACUUGUGCUAAUACCGGAUAAGCCUUUACAGGGAAAGUUUUAACGCCAAAAGAUGAGCCUGCACUUGAUUAGCUAGUUGGUAAGGUAAAAGCUUACCAAGGCUACGAUCAAUAGCUGAUCUGAGAGGAUGAUCAGCCACAUUGGGACUGAGACACGGCCCAAACUUCUACGGAAGGCAGCAGUGGGGAGUCUUGCACAAUGGGGGAAACCCUGAUGCAGCGAUGCCGCGUGAGUGAAGAAGGCCCUUGGGUUGUAAAGCUCUUUCGUCGGGGAAGAAAAUGACUGUACCCGAAUAAGAAGGUCCGGCUAACUUCGUGCCAGCCGCCGCGGUAAUAC
rnacentral:rRNA from 1 species